rnacentral:rRNA from 1 species
GACGAACGCUGGCGGCGUGCCUAAUACAUGCAAGUCGAACGCAGUGGGGACGGGUUAGUAACACGUGGGUGACCUCCCAUCAGAGGGGAUAACACUUGGCAAAAGGUGCUAAUCUGAUACUGAUUGAUGGUGUAGCGGUGCAUUAGCUAGUUGGUGAGGUAACGGCCAACCGAGGCCACGAUACAUAGCCGGUCGUAGAGGGUGAGCGGCCACACUGGGACUGAGACACGGCCCAGACUCCUACGGGAGGCAGCAGUAGGGAAUAUUCGGCAAUGGGCGAAAGUCUGACGGAGCAACGCCGCGUGAGUGAAGAAGGUUUUCGGAUCGUAAAACUCUGUUAUUAGGGAAGCGGUAUCUAACCAGAAAGCCACGGCUAACUACGUGCCAGCAGCCGCGGUAAUAC